rnacentral:rRNA from 1 species
CCUACGGGAGGCAGCAGUGGGGAAUAUUGCGCAAUGGGCGAAAGCCUGACGCAGCGACGCCGCGUGAGGGAUGAAGGUCUUCGGAUCGUAAACCUCUGUCAGCAGGGAAGAACGGUCACUGUGCUAAUCAGCAGUGAAUUGACGGUACCUGCAAAGGAAGCACCGGCGAACUCCGUGCCAGCAGCCGCGGUAAUACGGAGGGUGCGAGCGUUAAUCGGAAUUACUGGGCGUAAAGCGCUCGUAGGCGGUAUGUCAAGUCAAGGGUGAAAUCCCCGCGCUCAACGUGGGAACUGCCUUUGAAACUGGCAAACUGGAGUGUGUGAGAGGAUAGUGGAAUUCCAGGUGUAGGAGUGAAAUGCGUAGAUAUCUGGAGGAACAUCAGUUGCGAAGGCGACUAUCUGGCACAUAACUGACGCUGAGGAGCGAAAGCGUGGGUAGCAAACAGGAUUAGAUACCCGGGUAGUC